rnacentral:rRNA from 1 species
CCAAUAGCGUAUAUUAAAGUUGUUGCAGUUAAAAAGCUCGUAGUUGAAUUUCGGGGUCAGUAGGUUGGUCGUGCCAACGGUAUGCACUGGCCUCACUGAUUCCUCCCUCUUGUAGAACCGUAAUGCCAUUAAUUUGGUGUUGCGGGGAAACAGGACUGUUACUUUGAAAAAAUUAGAGUGUUUAAAGCAGGCUAACGCUUGAAUACAUUAGCAUGGAAUAAUGAAAUAGGACGUUCGAUCCUAUUUUGUUGGUUUCUAGGGUUGACGUAAUGAUUAAUAGGGAUAGUUGGGGGCAUUAGUAUUCAAUUGUCAGAGGUGAAAUUCUUGGAUUUAUUGAAGACUAACUACUGCGAAAGCAUUUGCCAAGGAUGUUUUCAUUAAUCAAGAACGAAAGUUAGGGGAUCGAAGACGAUCAGAUACCGUCGUAGUCUUAACCAUAAACUAUGCCGACUAGGGAUCGGAUGAUGUUAAUUUUUUAAUGACUCAUUCGGCGCCUUACG